rnacentral:rRNA from 1 species
UGGGGAAUAUUGGACAAUGGGCGCAAGCCUGAUCCAGCCAUGCCGCGUGAGUGAUGAAGGCCCUAGGGUUGUAAAGCUCUUUCGCCAGGGACGAUAAUGACGGUACCUGGAUAAGAAGCCCCGGCUAACUUCGUGCCAGCAGCCGCGGUAAUACGAAGGGGGCUAGCGUUGUUCGGAAUCACUGGGCGUAAAGCGCACGUAGGCGGAUCUUUAAGUCAGGGGUGAAAUCCCGAGGCUCAACCUCGGAACUGCCUUUGAUACUGGAGGUCUCGAGUCCGGGAGAGGUGAGUGGAACUGCGAGUGUAGAGGUGAAGUUCGUAGAUAUUCGCAAGAACACCAGUGGCGAAGGCGGCUCACUGGCCCGGUACUGACGCUGAGGUGCGAAAGCGUGGGGAGCAAAACAGGAUUAGAUACCCUGGUAGUCCACGCCGUAAACUAUGGAUGCUAGCCGUUGGGCAGCUUGCUGUUCAGUGGCGCAGCUAACGCUUUAAGCAUCCCGCCUGGGGAGUACGGUCGCAAGAUUAAAAACUCAAAUGAAUUGACGGGGUCAUAGCUGUUUCCU